GGCAGCCUCCUGCCCACUGCUGCCCUCCUGGUUGGGCUUCCUGCUGCUUUCGCCCCUUCCCCUGAGGGGCUGCAGGAGGCCAGGGCUCCUCUGUGAGCGAGGCUGGAAGGAGAAGCUCUGCAGGGCAGGACGAGGGGUGCUCUGCAGAGCAUGAAGGGUGACCCGGAAGGAGAGAAGCAGGGACCCGAGAAGACUGGAGUGGACGGAAGGGGACGGGAAGAGUGAUUUUCCGAAAUGUACAACGGUUGUUUGAUUCUUCUAUGGAAAUCACUCUUGGCCUCUCCACGGUUAUGAAGGUCACAAGCUCUACAUGAUUCUUCGCCUCGCCCUUCUCUCCAACUGCCUCACCAGCUGCUCCAUCGACUCUUUCUCGCUUAAAUGUGCACACCUAGCUGUUUAACUUGUGGAACUGUUUGUAAUAUUUUGUAUGAGAAUGUAGCUCACCUCGUUAUUUGUAGUACUGAAAAACUGUCUUCAGUUUAAGUAUGUAUCAACAGAAUUAUG
ensembl:lncRNA